GAAAAAAAAUAAAUUGGUUCUCAAAUGUAAAAAAGAAAAGGAUCCCAACACCAAGACCAAGAAAGUCUUCAGUCCUGUCAUCACGAUGGACAAUCUGUUAGUCCGCCCUGUGGCAACAGAUCGGAGAGCAUUCUUUGUACUGGAUACAUCACUACAGUCACCCCAGCUGUAUGAAUUCAUAACAGCAUCGACCUCCGAGAAAAAUAAGUGGAUUCAGGUCAUAAAUGAAGCAACAAAAGAGGUGGUGGAAGAACCAAUCGACCAGCCCCCAGUAAUUCUCCC